ACGCUAGCUACAGGCUUAACACAUGCAAGUCGAGGGGAAACGGCAUUAAGUGCUUGCACUUUUUGGACGUCGACCGGCGCACGGGUGAGUAACGCGUAUCCAACCUUCCCAUGACUAAGGGAUAACCUGCCGAAAGGCAGACUAAUACCUUAUGGUCUUCACUGACGGCAUCAGAUGUGAAGUAAAGAUUUAUCGGUUAUGGAUGGGGAUGCGUCUGAUUAGUUAGUUGGCGGGGUAACGGCCCACCAAGGCAACGAUCAGUAGGGGUUCUGAGAGGAAGGUCCCCCACAUUGGAACUGAGACACGGUCCAAACUCCUACGGGAGGCAGCAGUGAGGAAUAUUGGUCAAUGGGCGAGAGCCUGAACCAGCCAAGUAGCGUGCAGGACGACGGCCCUAUGGGUUGUAAACUGCUUUUGUAUGGGGAUAAAGUCAAUCACGUGUGAUUGUUUGCAGGUACCAUACGAAUAAGGACCGGCUAAUUCCGUGCCAGCAGCCGCGGUAAUACGGAAGGUCCGGGCGUUAUCCGGAUUUAUUGGGUUUAAAGGGAGCGUAGGCUGGAGAUUAAGUGUGUUGUGAAAUGUAGACGCUCAACGUCUGACUUGCAGCGCAUACUGGUUUCCUUGAGUACGCACAACGUUGGCGGAAUUCGUCGUGUAGCGGUGAAAUGCUUAGAUAUGACGAAGAACUCCGAUUGCGAAGGCAGCUGACGGGAGCGCAACUGACGCUGAAGCUCGAAGGUGCGGGUAUCGAACAGGAUUAGAUACCCUGGUAGUCCGCACAGUAAACGAUGGAUGCCCGCUGUUGGUACGUGGUAUCAGCGGCUAAGCGAAAGCAUUAAGCAUCCCACCUGGGGAGUACGCCGGCAACGGUGAAACUCAAAGGAAUUGACGGGGGCCCGCACAAGCGGAG
rnacentral:rRNA from 1 species